AGUGAACGCUGGCGGUAGGCCUAACACAUGCAAGUCGAACGGCAGCACAGUAAGAGCUUGCUCUUACGGGUGGCGAGUGGCGGACGGGUGAGGAGUACAUCGGAAUCUACUUUUUCGUGGGGGAUAACGUAGGGAAACUUACGCUAAUACCGCAUACGACCUACGGGUGAAAGCAGGGGAUCUUCGGACCUUGCGCGAUUGAAUGAGCCGAUGUCGGAUUAGCUAGUUGGCGGGGUAAAGGCCCACCAAGGCGACGAUCCGUAGCUGGUCUGAGAGGAUGAUCAGCCACACUGGAACUGAGACACGGUCCAGACUCCUACGGGAGGCAGCAGUGGGGAAUAUUGGACAAUGGGCGCAAGCCCGAUCCAGCCAUACCGCGUGGGUGAAGAAGGCCUUCGGGUUGUAAAGCCCUUUUGUUGGGAAAGAAAAGCAGCAGGUUAAUACCCCGCUGUUCUGACGGUACCCAAAGAAUAAGCACCGGCUAACUUCGUG
rnacentral:rRNA from 1 species